UGUCUUAGCCCGUCACUGCAU
rnacentral:miRNA from 1 species